GAGGGGAGAGGCAAGCGUUAUCCGGAAUUAUUGGGCGUAAAGCGUCCGCAGGUGGCGAUUCAAGUCUGCUGUCAAAGGUCGGGGCUUAACCCCGGGAAGGCAGUGGAAACUGAAUAGUUAGAGUGCGGUAGGGGCAGAGGGAAUUCCCGGUGUAGCGGUGAAAUGCGAAGAGACCGGGAAGAACACCAGUGGCGAAAGCGCUCUGCUGGGCCUGCACUGACACUGAGGGACGAAAGCUAGGGGAGCGAAAGGG
rnacentral:rRNA from 1 species